AGUUCCAGGACAGCUGGACCACGUAAUAAGAACCAACUUCAAAAAAGGAAAAACAAAAGUCCGUCGAAGGUUACUACACCUUUUCCUCUCUAGUAACACAGAGCAAGUCAUGUGGGUUUCUUAGUAUUUUAAUUCCCUUGAAAUUUAAAACCCUGACUGAGCUCAGGGGAUAAAGGAAAGAAAGACGAAGUCACACUGCAGGGUGACUGUAGUUGACAGCAGCUGAAGAACCAGCCGGUGCCCCAGUCCUUCCGCUCCAGAGCGGUAACCGCCCCUCCAGGAACACGUGACAGACAGCGCGGUGGGUAAACUACAACUCCCAGAGGGCCAAGCGGCCGGCCUGCGUAACGCUUUCUCGCUGAUUGGCCACUAGAGAUAUUUGAAAGGAGGUGCUGGCGCGGAAAACGAAGCGUACCCACCGGUGUUUGGUGGAACUCCGGCUGGAGGGUAGUCCUAGACCGGUGAAACACGGCCUGGAGGGUCUGGUGAGCGCGCGCUCAAGCUGCGGCUUCUACAAACCAUUUCGUUGUGUCUAGACUUUUGCCAUGAGGAACUUCAAAGGAGUCAAGUUCGCCACUCUACUUUGCUGCAAGAGAGAGACCCAGGAGUUGCUGCCUGACUUGAAGGAGUUCCUGUCUAGAUCUCGAACUGAUUCAGUCAGCAGCAGAACCGAUGCUGAGAGAAGACAGGUCUGUGACACCAUCCUGAGGGCUUGCACCCAGCAGCUGACUGCCAAGCUUGACGGCCC
rnacentral:sRNA from 1 species